UAUUCUCUCAGUCAGAAGCCAGUUUCUCAAUACUUCGUGGUUACACAGGGAUGUGUAUUCCAGGGGUGAGGAUCACUGAGAGCCAUUGUGGAGGUGGCCCACCUCAUAAGCUGAGAUGACAUACAUGGGUCUCAUUCUAAGUAUAACGGGAGACAAUUGAACAGCUUUAUGCCACUGGAUGAUGAUAUAUAAAUUUCCAUUAAUUUCAACCCCUUAAUGGGUCUGACCUAAACAUGAGGCCAAGGUGGAAGUGACUAUUCCAAUAUCAUACUACUGCAACCCAGGUCUGUUUUGAGUGGUGUUCCAACCCCUUCUUGUAAUUCUUCAAUUACUAAAUUUUGCCUUCGAUACAUAUGGCACCAUCCCACAGGUGGAAUAGAUAGUGUCUCAGAUACCCCUGAUGAGGUCCCUAGAAGGUAGGUUCUAGCCUCGUCCUCAUCCCCUGCUUUCAGGUUUGGAGACUGGGGAGGGCCUGAGAGACACAAUGAUUUUCCCAGGACAAAGACAAAGGAGGUCCAAAUUUAACUCUGUCUUCUCAAAGCUAGAGUCUUCAUUACAUUUUCAGGGAGAUGUAAAAAGGGAUAUUUUAACAAAUUUUGUUUGGCUAAGGAGUUGGCAUGGGGGAAGAGAAGGAGCAAUAAACAUCCCAUAGGGGGCUUUGGGUAAGUAUGAUUCAAAGAAGGGGCCCUGGUAACAGAAUCUUCAAAAAGUGAUCUCACAUCUUUGGUCAUAGACCUCAACAGAACUUAGAACUGUAAUAAACAAGUACCCACAUUCUAGACACAGCCCCCUAUUCAGCUCACUUGGGUGGAGACACUGAAGAUAGUAAGAUGUUCCAAUGUUGUCUCCUUGGUUUCAGAAGAUCUGGGCUCAGGAAAGCUCAGAGUGAGAAUUUUCUUUGUCGCUAUAGACAUUGGCUCAGACAUCAGCCCCAUGCAUCUGGUCAUUUUGGAGAAGGCACCAAAAGAACUCAAACCAGGAGAUCAUCGAGGAGCUGGCUGAUGAGUUCAACAACUCCAUCCUCCUAGACAAGGGGCAGGUACAUCAAGCCACCAUUACGGUCCAGUACUGGCCUGAGGCAAGUGUGGUGAUCCAAGGAGUAUGAAAGACCUGUGGCCUGAAGAGAAGUGGAACAUCCAGUAACUAUACCAGGGAGUUCUGUGGGCAAAGGUCAUGCACCCCAACUUCAAUAAGAUCAGGAAUGUGUCAAGCUCUCACAAGCUUUCAAGCCCUUCGUAUCUAUGGACAGACAGAGUUGUGACUCACAAGGUAAGAUCUUGCUCCUGGCAAGUGUGCAGAUUCAGCUCUGAUAUUUGAGUCUUUGGGUAUUUU
rnacentral:lncRNA from 1 species